rnacentral:lncRNA from 1 species
AGUUUCUCUCCAUCUUGAGGCUUGGCCUCAUUCUCUUUGGAUUCUAACUUGUGGAGAGGAGACAUUGGAUUUUGUGAAGUGUAGGAUCUUUGGACUUGUGGUAUUUGGACUUGUGAAGGGUUUGGUGGACAUAGUCUAUCUACCCCCGCUUUUAUUCUAGUCAUGUGACCCUUCAUAGCAUCCAUAUCAUUCCAUAAGGCAUCAUGACUAUCUUCCAUUUUUCAGGCCAAGGCAUCAUGGUUACUCUUCAUGUCUCGGUCCAAGGCCUCAAUUUGAGCCAUCAAGGCUCCAAUAGCAUCAUUUCCCAAAGAUUGGGCAGAAGUACCCCCGGAUUCCAUGGAAAAAUGUACCUACAAAGUGCAAAAAACAGCAAGCAAAACAACCUACAAAACGAACAAACGAUUUAGUUCAAAAGCCUCACUUCACUCACACUCAACCUCACCUCACACUUGGUUUCACAAGUGUUGGAGAAGCGGCAAUACUUGGCAAGUUACUUGAGAGGUGAGAAGCUUUGGAUCGGAAUUGAUCUUGGAUUGAUACAACUCAAAUAAAGUGAUGCACGCACUUGAACCAAUAAAAUACUAUGAAUUUAAAAACGAGAAAAGCACACAAAAAUCGAAGACGCGAAAUAAACGAACUGUAAUCUAAUUACCAACCUAGUAGGUACUUACUAGUUUGUUAAUUAGUGAUAGAAUUAGCUUAAAGAAACAAGAAUAAAAAAAUAGAAACUAAGAAAUCUAAGUUUAGAGUCGAAUUUUGGUUGAGCACAAAUGAUGACGUGGCACUUCGUGGUUGGUUUUUACUUUUCAAAAUUUUCAAAUUUUUCCAAAACUUAAUUUUGGCCAAACACUACCCUUUGGGAAUGAUAAUUUCGGAUUUAGGGAUGAAAUGAGGCAAUUUAGGGUUCUUUCAAGUAUCAAAUGAAAAAUGAAAUGAAAUGGUCCCCCCGUAAUAAUUGCACUUGUACUUUCUUUGUCCCCUUGCUCCCUCCUCCUUUUGGAAGAAUGGAAUAUUCUUUGAAUAUGCUUUUGGACAAACAACUUUUUCUCCCUCUUCCUUCCCUCUUUUAGAUCAAAUAACACCUUUGAAUAUUCUUCUCAAACAAAGUAUGAUGAAGAUUGAAGAACAAGAUGAAUAUUCAAGAGUUGACCAAAGUUUGACCUUCUAUCAAAUGAACCCCAAAUUUGGAUUUUCUUGUAUAUCUAGGUUCCUUAGGCUGAGACAAACAUAACCAACAUAAAAACAGCCACAAAUCACGCCUAAAUCACCAUAACAAAAAUGUCCAUAGCUCAAAAAGCUUCAAAACUCCAUAGCCAUGGUGAAUUCUAAGCUCAAUCUCAACCAAACUUCAAUCUAAAAGUAGAUCUAGACUCCCUAGGUGUUAGGGAACAAGAAUCUAACAUAAGAAACCUUCAAAACAAAGUAAAAACUUGUAGAUCUAAGUUGGAAUUUUCGGAUCUACAAUAAACACACAAGACAACACACAAUAUUUUUGAGAUUUUUGGAUUUUUGACUCUUUUUUUGAUGAGAUUUUCGAUAUAAUAACACUAAAACCAAGAUUUAGAGAUGUAGGAACACCUCUAAACAAGGCUUUGAUACCAAAUGAUAGCCUAAAGAUUACCAAACACACGAAAUUGGCUACUAAGAUGCAAAUUCCAGCAACCAAACAAAGAGAAAACAACACAUAGAAUGGAGAUGAAGAAGAAGAUUACUUGAAAUUGAAAGAUAGAUAGAAAGACCCUUACCCUUAUUUACCCUUAUUAAGUGAUUAGCACUAGAAGAUGUUUCAAAUCUUCAAACAUACUUCACAAACAAGAUUUCAAACCUUUCUCUUAGGUGACCCAAAGGAAACACUCUUCCCCAAACCACCUUUCUUGCCAAAUUAUUCAAAACAAGUGAAACCCCAACUUCAAAUGUUCUUGGACCACUUUCGGAUUCUAAGAGCUAAAACUAGAGACUAAAAACUACAAUAUAAGAGUAAUAUCCAAUUUCAUCAAAGUCUUGGGAAAAUACAAGCUAAAGGGUCUAUUUAUACUUAUUACAAAUAUAACAAAAAUACCCUUAAUAAAGGGUGCUCCUUUGGAG